AGAGGAGAGAAAGAGUAGCUGGUGAGAAGGUUCUUCUGGAAGGCAAUCUGUCAGGUCUGGGGAACUGCAUGCAAACCCAGUGUGACUGGAUGGCCCACGAGACCAAUGGUGAUGCUGGAUUGAGAUCUUAGGGAGAGCAAAUGAUAAGCGAAGUAGCAUGGGGAGCAGCAACUAGAGUGAACAGAGGGAGCUGGAGAAUCCCAGUGGCUGAUAUUAUCAAGCCAUGAUCACCGGAGGCAUAUAUCUCCACACAAGUGACUCGACAUGCACCUGCUACUUGAAGAGGAUUCUGUUGCUCUGCUAAGCAGCGUUUCCCACUUUCAGGGCUGACAAUCCGCUUCCGAAGCAGAGCCCCUGAAGUCAAGUCCCGAGCAGACGUGCCCGCGCGCCCUGGCUGAGUCUGUGAGAACCUCGCACACACUCCCAUUGUGACACGGGCGCGACCUCGACCGUCCCCCCCGCGGAAGCUGGGCAUAGACUCAAACCCAAAGUAUUCUCGGUCCACGUUUACAGAUGUUAGCCCGUGUUCCAUUUUUAACUGUGACGUAGGCACGUGCACUGGUUGCCCAGGAGACACGAAUCUGGGCAAACGCGGCAGAAAAGUGCCGGAGGAAGGGCAGAUGUGUUUCCCGGAGGUCCUGCUCACGCACAGCCUCCGAGCUCCCCGUCAGUGCCCUCCCCCAGCCGCAGAGCCCCAGUCACACAGAGAGAGAGAGAGAGAGAGAGGCAGAGACAUAGGCAGAGGAAGAAGCAGGCUCCAUGCACCGGGAGCCCGACGUGGGAUUCGAUCCCGGGUCUCCAGGAUCGGGCCCUGGGCCAAAGGCAGGCGCCAAACUGCUGCGCCACCCAGGGAUCCCCACAGUAUGCUAACUUCUAUACAAAUGUUCAAAAGUCACAAUCUGAGCACACUGAGUGAUUGCAGGUACAACUCAAAAUGUAAGUAGAAUAUAAGUUCUGUGAUGAAAAUAAGUGUUAACACGAAGUGCUGUGAGUCAAAGGCAGGAUAUAUCUGAGCAAACUUCCUUAUAAGAUUCUAAUGUUUAAACCAAAAAUGGAGUUUUGGAGCCCAUAAAGCUGAGAGCUACCCUGUGGACCUUGGAGAGCCACUCUAUAAAGCUCUGUUUGAAUGAUUGCAACUCCGGAGGAGAGGAACAUCCAUCUACUCAGCUAUUACCAGCACAACACCUGGCAAAUAGAAAGCAUUUCAUAAAUGAGUAUGCGUAAAAACGAGAAGCUUGGAUAAAUAGAGUGGCUAUGGGCCAUUUCUUCACUUCCACUCUAAACUUCUAUGGGCCAAAUGGAUUUAUUUCCUUGUUAUUAUCUUCUUGUUGUUUUUAAACCUGGGCUCAGGCUUCCACAGAAAUACUACACACAAUAAUUCAGAAAUAAUCUCAAAGUAAUAAUGGCAACCAUAUUUUUAAUAGCCUGUUAUGCAUAAGGUUCUUUCUGUAUAUUGUCUUACUUAAUCCCGCCAAUAACCCAAGGAAGUCAGCACUAUCAUUCCUAUUUCACUGAAAAGAAGACAGAUUCAGAAUUGUUAAUAAUUUGCCCAAGUUCACUCAGCUCUCAACUGCAUUGCCGCCAGUAUUAAUGCUCUGAGUUACAGUCAGGAACUUCCCCUCCCCUUUCCAAGUCUAUCUGGUAAAAGCUAAAAAGUCUCAUCUUUUCCUUUGGGUAGAAGGCUGGGAUGGAGCAGGAAGGUGAGCCUGAGUCUGGGGCAAAUGGAGAGAGACUCUCUUAGUAGGAAAGCCCGCCAGAAUUAAGAACCAGGCAAGUGAGGCAAGUGGGCUGUGGAAGUGCAGAGCUGGUGCUGAUGAAGCAAGACAGGAGGCCUGGGCAGGUCACUGCAAGAAGAGCUAGAAAAAUGAACCUAAAGCCAAAGAGAAUUUGUAAGGGAUAGGCACCUAGGGAUGGGCAGAUUGUGCCUGCUUCAGAGUCAUACUGGUCUCCUUUCCAUAGGCUCUGACGCUUGAUACUUGGGAAAAUCACAGGAAGGCACAAUGCCGUAAUAUCCCGGUGUGGUGCCAGGCACCAAAGCAGUGGCUCAAUCAAUAGUCAUUGACUGAUUAACUGUCAUAGAGUUGCCCAUAAGGGAUUCAUUUACAGAUGUUUUUCACCCUUAAAAUUCAAGCAAAAAAGAGGUUCAGAAAAUUUGAGAAUGCUAACCCAAUCCAGGGAGGUACUUUCCCCCUCCCCUCCCCAUUUCCCAAACCAGCAGUCUCCACCCCAUGAAGAUGUUACCAUUCAACAUUUAUCAAUCCACUUAUUUGUUUUAAGAAUCAAACUGAAAUCCAUUUGCGCACUCUGUGAAAUGGCGUUGACUCUCAAGGAAGACAUAAUGGAGCUGGGGAGCUCCAAAGCAGAAAUUCCAAAAUGACCAAAGGAGAGAGAAUGACCUGCAGGGGUUUGGACUCUCAGUCGUGGGGCUGUGGCAGAAACUCAGGAAAGCCCUAUGACUCAGCCCCAUGAAGGGAAGAAAGAAGUGGGCCGUGUGAAUGGAAACAGAAUUUUCCAUCAAACUCCAUACCAAAAGGGCACAUGAUUUAAAGUUUGAAAAGAGGUCCACUGCCAUCUGACACACUGGGUACCAAGGUUAUGGAAUCUUCUCCUCAAAAAGUGGUUCAGGCUGUAAAUUAGAAAUUGUCUAAAAAAAAAGGCUUGUCUUUAGAUGUGUCUGGUCAUUACCUUGGCAACCCUUACAAAUGGCAACUGACGUCAAGAAAAGAGGAAAAACACUGCUGAGAGCGUACACUUCAUGCAUUAGAGAUCAUUCUGAGGACUUCAAAUUCUUAGACUCAUACAGGCACAAAUGGCUUUUAAAUGAGCACAAGCAAUCUUUCAUUUACAGUCUUCAUAAACUUAUUAAGACUGUGAGAUCUGAAAAGAGCAUCUUUGAGUUUUUAAUUUAAGCAAAAUACAAUUCAGCUACUUGCUUAGGUGUUCUGUCUCACAAUAACUGUCAAGUCCAUAAAAAUGUUGGGCCCUUAACAAAUCUCAAAAACAAAUGGAAGCUGCCUAUUUCUUCUGAAAAUAUUUUUCCUUAACUUUUUAAUAUGAAAAAGUUCAGAGUGCCUGAGUGGCUCAGUCGGUUAAGCAUCUGCCCUCAGUUCAGGUUAUGAUCCCGGGGUCUUGGGAAUCGUGUCCCACCGCAUGGUGUUCCCUGCUCUGUGGGGAGCCUUCCUCCUCCCUCUCCCUCUGCCUGCCACUCCCCCUGCUUGUGCUCUCUUUCUCUUUCUCUCUCUCCAUCUAAUAAGUUAAUAAAAUCUUUUUAAAAAAUAAUACGAAAAAGUUUAGACAUGGGGAAGUUGAAAGAAUUUUAGAGUGGACACCUAUAUAUUCAUCGCCCAGAGUUACCACUAUUCUGUUGUACUGACCCUAUCACAUACAUAUUCAUCUACUAUCUGUCUUCAUCAUCCAUAUAUCCAUCCCCUUGUGCAUAUCUUAAGCCAUCUAUUUUUUUGAUGCAUUCAAACAUCAAAAUUGCAGGCAUGAGUAUACUUCCCCCUAAAUAUUUCAUCAUGCAUAUCAUUAACUAUAGUUCAAUAUUUCUUCUGAUAUAAUAUUUACAAUGACAUGCACAAAUCUUAAAUGUACAUUUGCUGAGUUUUGAAAAAUGCAUAUACACUUCUAUCAAGAUAUUAAACACCACUAGGAACUCAUACGCCUCUUCCUAUUCAAUCCCACGCCAACCACUCCUGAUUUCUGAAAGUAUUUUUUAGAGCUUUGUAUUAGGGCUUAUUACUUCUUCUUUUUCAACAAUUUAUUUGUUUUAGAGAGAGAGACAGAGGAAGGGAACGAA